rnacentral:sRNA from 15 species
AUUUUCCAACCGUCUUAUUUCGAAACUGUGUAAAAAAAGGCCAUGUAAAAACAGAAUUAGGUGUAUACAUACAUAUGUAUAUAUAUAGUCGACUUAGGUCACAACAAUGAAACCAAGAAUUUAACGAAAAUAGUGUUAUAAUACAACAAUAAGCAAGUUAAAAAAAUAUAUAUUCAACAAAAAACUUUAAAAAUCUGAGACCAUCUCCAAAAAGUCCUGCCACCUGGAAAAAAGGCUAAAAAAGUUCAAAUUUGGCCUCAAUUAUUCGGGUCGUUGUCCUGCUGAAAUAUCCAGAUCAGCAAAUCGUGGAAUGAAUGACGCAUUUUAUCGCGAAUUUGAACGGGAAUAAUUGAAGGCAAUUGAUGAUGGCUUAUAUAUCCUGGAUGGCCCUGGUGGAACUGUUGCUUCUACUGGAACAGCAGCCAUAUUGUUAGAAGGAUGCCGUGCGUCAGAUUCAGCAUUAAAAUUACCGUUAAAUCUUUAAAAUAUUGAAGAGCCUAUAUGUAUGUAUUAUUGCAAAACACUCCGCAAUGGCCACAUUUUUGUCAGCAUCGAAAAUUAUCAUCUGCAUAAACGUGCAUUUGAAGUACUUAACCGAAGAUUAUAAGAUCUACAAAAUGACACGAGAUAUUUUGGAGGAGCCAUGAUUCUACUGUCUUUCGAUUUCCGCCGAACAUUACAGUUUUAUUGUAAAAUUAUCUCAGAGCAUUUUCUGACUAUCGGUAAUGGCUAGUAGUAGCUGUCAACGAAUAAAGCGGAUUGAUUUUAUUUCCUCAGAAUUUCUGUAACUUUGUCACAACAAAGUAUUCCCAAACAUCAA